GUAGGUGGCAAGCGUUGUCGGGAAUUAUUGGGCGUAAAGCGCGCGCAGGCGGUUCUUUAAGUCUGAUGUGAAAGCCCACGGCUCAACCGUGGAGGGUCAUUGGAAACUGGAGAACUUGAGUACAGAAGAGGAGAGCGGAAUUCCACGUGUAGCGGUGAAAUGCGUAGAGAUGUGGAGGAACACCAGUGGCGAAGGCGGCUUGCUGGUCUGUAACUGACGCUGAGGCGCGAAAGCGUGGGGGGAGCAAACAGGAUUAGAUACCCUGGUAGUCCACGCCGUAAACGAUGAGUGCUAAGUGUUAGGGGGUUUCCGCCCCCCCCUUAGUGCUGCAGCUAACGCAUUAAGCACUCCGCCUGGGAGUACGGCCGCAAGGCUG
rnacentral:rRNA from 1 species